GAUCAUGGCUCAGAUUGAACGCUGGCGGCAUGCUUUACACAUGCAAGUCGAACGGUAACAGGUCUUCGGAUGCUGACGAGUGGCGAACGGGUGAGUAAUGUAUCGGAACGUGCCCAGUAGUGGGGGAUAACUACUCGAAAGAGUGGCUAAUACCGCAUGAGAACUGAGGUUGAAAGCGGGGGACCUUCGGGCCUCGCGCUACUGGAGCGGCCGAUAUCAGAUUAGGUAGUUGGUGGGGUAAAGGCCUACCAAGCCGACGAUCUGUAGCUGGUCUGAGAGGACGACCAGCCACACUGGGACUGAGACACGGCCCAGACUCCUACGGGAGGCAGCAGUGGGGAAUUUUGGACAAUGGACGCAAGUCUGAUCCAGCAAUGCCGCGUGCAGGACGAAGGCCUUCGGGUUGUAAACUGCUUUUGUACAGAACGAAAGGGCUCUGGUUAAUACCUGGGGCAGAUGACGGUACUGUAAGAAUAAGCACCGGCUAACUACGUG
rnacentral:rRNA from 1 species